AGCUUUGCGCAGUGGCAGUAUCGUAGCCAAUGAGGUUUAUACGAGGCGCGAUUAUUGCUAAAAGAUGUGUUCUUCAGCUUCACAAACAUCCUGCUCUGUCCUGAAAACCUCAGGGCAGGGGGUGGAUUAUGGUACUGGGCCAUUUUCC